rnacentral:misc_RNA from 1 species
AGCAGCCGCGGUAAUUCCAGCUCCAAUAGCGUAUAUUAAAGUUGUUGCAGUUAAAAAGCUCGUAGUUGAAUUUCGGGAUCAAAGGAUCGGUCAUGCCUUGGUAUGUACUGGUUUUAUUGGUUCUCACCUUCUAAAGAACCAUAAUGUCAUUCAUUUGAUGUUAUGGGGAAUUAGGACUGUUACCUUGAAAAAUUAGAGUGUUUAAAGCAGGCUUACGCUUGAAUACAUUAGCAUGGAAUAAUGAAAUAGGACAUCAGAUUCUAUUUUGUUGGUUUCCAGGAUCGAUGUAAUGAUUAAUAGGGAUAGUUGGGGGCAUUAGUAUUCAAUUGUCAGAGGUGAAAUUCUUGGAUUUAUUGAAGACUAACUACUGCGAAAGCAUUUGCCAAGGAUGUUUUCAUUAAUCAAGAACGAAAGUUAGGGGAUCGAAGACGAUCAGAUACCGUCGUAGUCUUAACCAUAAACUAUGCCGACUAGGGAUCGGAUGAUGUUAAUUUAUAAUGACUCAUUU